rnacentral:rRNA from 1 species
UAGGGAAUAUUGGUUAAUGGGCGAAAGCCUGAACCAGCAACGCCGCGUGUGCGAUGAAGGCCUUCGGGUCGUAAAGCACUUUUUGAAGGGAUGAGGAAGGACAGUACCUUCAGAAUAAGUCUCGGCUAACUACGUGCCAGCAGCCGCGGUAAAACGUAGGAGACAAGCGUUAUCCGGAUUUACUGGGCGUAAAGCGCGUGCAGGCGGCACGGAAAGUUGGAUGUGAAAGCUCCCGGCUUAACUGGGAGAGGUCGUUCAAAACUACCGAGCUAGAGGAUGGGAGAGGGAAGUGGAAUUCCGGGUGUAGUGGUGAAAUGCGUAGAUAUCCGGAGGAACACCAGUGGCGAAAGCGGCUUCCUGGCCCAUAACUGACGCUCAGACGCGAAAGCUAGGGUAGCAAACGG